AGAGUUUGUUCCUGGCUCAGGAUGAACGCUGGCGGCGUGCCUAAUACAUGCAAGUCGAACGGAGAGCGAUACUUCGGUAGAAGCUCCUAGUGGCGAACGGGUGAGUAACGCGUUGGUGACCUGCCCCGAAGAGGGGGAUAACAGCUCGAAAGGGCUGCUAAUACCCCAUGUGGUCUUGGAGGUUAGAUACUUCAGGACUAAAGGAGAAAUCCGCUUCGGGAGGGGCCUGCGUCCCAUCAGCUAGUUGGUAGGGUAAAAGCCUACCAAGGCGAAGACGGGUAGGGGACCUGAGAGGGUGACCCCCCACAAUGGAACUGAAACACGGUCCAUACACCUACGGGUGGCAGCAGUAGGGAAUAUUGCACAAUGGGCGAAAGCCUGAUGCAGCAACGCCGCGUGCGCGAUGAAGGCCUUCGGGUUGUAAAGCGCUUUUCGGGGAGAUGAGAAAGGACAGUAUCCCCGGAAUAAGGCUCGGCUAACUACGUGCCAGCAGCCGCGGUAAAACGUAGGAGUCAAGCGUUAUCCGAAUUUACUGGGCGUAAAGCGCGUGCAGGCGGUUCGGUAAGUUGGAUGUGAAAGCUCCCGGCUCAACUGGGAGAGGACGUUCAAUACUGCCGAACUAGAGGACGGCAGAGGGAGGUGGAAUUCCCGGUGUAGUGGUGAAAUGCGUAGAUAUCGGGAGGAACACCAGUGGCGAAGGCGGCCUCCUGGGCCGAUCCUGACGCUAAGACGCGAAAGCUAGGGUAGCAAACGGGAUUAGAAACCCCGGUAGUCCUAGCUGUAAACGAUGUAGACUUGGUGUUGGUGGUGUAAGAGCCAUCAGUGCCGAAGCCAACGCGAUAAGUCUACCGCCUGGGGACUACGGCCGCAAGGCUAAAACUCAAAGGAAUUGACGGGGGCCCGCACAAGCAGCGGAGCGUGUGGUUUAAUUCGACUACGCGAAGAACCUUACCCGGGCUUGACAUACAGGUGGUAGGGAAGCGAAAGUGGACCGACCCUUCGGGGAGCCUGAACAGGUGCUGCAUGGCUGUCGUCAGCUCGUGCCGUGAGGUGUCCGGUUAAGUCCGGUAACGAGCGCAACCCUUGCCGUAUGUUAUAUGUGUCAUACGGGACUGCCGGUAUAAAGCCGGAGGAAGGUGGGGAUGACGUCAAGUCAGCAUGGCCUUUAUGUCCGGGGCUACACACACGCUACAAUGGUCAGUACAAUAGGUAGCAAGACUGCGAGGUGGAGCCAAUCCUAAAAGCUGGCCUCAGUUCAGAUUGCAGGCUGCAACUCGCCUGCAUGAAGCUGGAGUUGCUAGUAACCGCGCGUCAGCAACAGUGCGGUGAAUACGUUCCCGGGCCUUGUACACACCGCCCGUCACGUCAUGGAAGCUGGCAACACCUGAAGCCGGUAUCCUAACCGAAAGGAGGGAGCCGUCGAAGGUGGGGUUGGUGACUGGGACGAAGUCGUAACAAGGUA
rnacentral:rRNA from 1 species